GGUGGGCUUUAUUUUAUAAAUGUAUCUUGAGUUAUAUAAGCUCUGAUAUUUCAUGAAAGUUGAAAAUGUUCGUUUAUCCAAUAUAAAUGUUUUUAUGUGCGUUCUGUAUUGUUUAAUGCUCGCAUAAGCAUCGAUCGAGAUUCUCAUUUGACCUAACACGUUAGAUGAGGAUUGUGUACACAAGGUUAGUUGCUCAAUGGGUUGAUCGCCAUUUGGGCACUAACGAAGCUAAGCAGGCGUUAUAAGGGUGCUCCUUGACACGUUCCAAAGCACAAAUGAUGAUGUGUUCCGUCUGGGUAGCGUCCCGGGUUCACUUAAGCGGCGGUAAGCGAUCCGACGGUGGUUAAAGGCCCGGGAUCAUAAGCAGUGAGUAACAAUCGAACGUUACAUGGGGCCCUCAACGUGAAAAAUAUUUUGUCAUGCUUAGAAGUGGAUUUCUGUUUUAAAACCUUCUGAGUUAUGAUUAUGAUAUUGGAUAAACUGCUCUAUUUAAUUAUUUCAUAAAAUAUCUUGUAAACUCCUGUUCACUGAGUACACUAGUACUCAGCCCAAAUUAUUUUCAAAUAUUUUCA
rnacentral:lncRNA from 1 species